CAGCAGCCGCGGUAAUACGGAAGGUCCGGGCGUUAUCCGGAUUUAUUGGGUUUAAAGGGAGCGCAGGCCGGAGAUUAAGCGUGACGUGAAAUGUAGACGCUCAACGUCUGAAUUGCGUCGCGAACUGGUUUCCUUGAGUGAGAACGACGUGUACGGAAUUCGUGGUGUAGCGGUGAAAUGCUUAGAUAUCACGAAGAACCCCGAUUGCGAAGGCAGUGCACGAGUCCUUUACUGACGCUAAAGCUCGAAAGUGCGGGUAUCGAACAGGAUUAGAUACCCUGGUAGUCCGCACGGUAAACGAUGGAUGCCCGCUGUUUGCGAUACAGUGUAAGCGGCCAAGCGAAAGCGUUAAGCAUCCCACCUGGGGAGUACGCCGGCAACGGUGAAACUCAAAGGAAUUGACGG
rnacentral:rRNA from 1 species